AUUAAGCAAGGCUAAAAAAAUGAGUACCAGCACAGCCGUUUUGGAGCACUGUGAAAAUUCCAUAGAUCGACUAGUAUCGUCUUAGCGAAAACUAGGAGUAACGCAAAUUCAGACAUUCUCAACGGUCCAGAUCGACGAUAACAUGCGUCAGAAAACAAAACAAUUGUGCUACGGUAUGAUUUACGGUAUGGGGACGAGGACUCUUGCGGAAACUAUUGCUAUUACCGAACGAGAAGCUAAGAUAGUUUUGGAAUCAUUCAUGGGCGCUUUUAUCCAGAAAUCUGUCAAUGGCUAACUCGAGUGAUUGAGCAAACUUGUACCGACGGUUACGUAACAACUUUGAUGUCACGUCGCAGAUUUCUUCCGGCGCUCAAAAAAGAAAAAUCCAGUAAAAGAUUGUAAUAUUUAACAGGCGCCAGCAUUUCUAUGGAGGAAAUGUCAGUAAAUCAAGUUGAGGCUAAAGAGAAU